rnacentral:ncRNA from 1 species
AAAUGAUAAAGCCAAACCCGUUGAGAGGCAGGGGCGGAAAACCACGGAUCUUAAAGAGACAGCCGGAUUGCCUAU